ACAGUGUCCUGGAGCUGGACCUGGCUCUGGGUUUCCAGGAACCAGUUUGACUAAAGGCAGCAAGCUGCUUCCUCUGGUGCCUGAGAUACCAGAUUCCCAAUGGCAAAGAUUGAGAAAAAUGCUCCCACUAUGGAAAAAAAGCCAGAAAUGUUUAACAUCAUGGAAGUAGAUAGAGUCCCUGCGUUGAAAUUAUCAAAAGAAUGGUGGGAAAAAGUCUGUAAUUUCCAAGCCAAGCCUGAUGAUCUUAUUCUGGCAACUUACCCAAAGUCAGGUACAACAUGGAUGCAUGAAAUUUUGGACAUGAUUCUAAAUGAUGGUGAUGUGGAGAAAUGCAAAAGAGCCCAGACUCUAGAUAGACAUGCUUUCCUUGAACUGAAAUUUCCCCAUAAAGAAAAACCAGAUUUGGAGUUCGUUCUUGAAAUGUCCUCACCACGACUGAUAAAAACACAUCUCCCUUCACAUCUGAUUCCACCAUCUAUCUGGAAAGAAAACUGCAAGAUGGAGUACUUAAAAUCAAGGAUUACAUAAAUUUGAAAUCUGCAAACAUCCGUGUUUUCUAAAAUUAAUUGUCCUCUAAUGCUGUUUCAUGAAAAAUUCUUGAUUGUCUCUGUGGCCAGAAAUCCCAAGGAUUGCCUGGUGUCCUACUACCACUUUCAUAGGAUGGCUUCCUUUAUGCCUGAUCCUCAGAACUUAGAGGAAUUUUAUGAGAAAUUCAUGUUGGGAAAAGUUCUUAAUGGGUCCUGGUUUGACCAUGUGAAAGGAUACUGGGCUGCAAAAGACACACACCAGAUCCUCUACCUCUUCUAGGAGGAUAUAAAAAAAAAUCCAAAACAGGAGAUCCACAAGGUGUUGGAAUUCUUGGAGAAAACUUUGUCAGAUGAUGUUGUAAACAAGAUCAUCCACCAUACCUCAUUUGAUGUAAUGAAGUAUAAUCCGAUGGCCAACCAAACUGCGAUACCAUCUCACAUAUUCAAUCACUCCAUCUCAAAAUUCAUGAGGAAAGGGAUGCCUGGAGACUGGAAGAACCAUUUUACUGUGGCUAUGAAUGAGAAAUUUGAUAAGCAUUAUGAGAAGAAGAUGGCAGGAUCCACACUGAACUUGUGCCUAGAGAUCUGAGAGGAACAACAACAAAAUAAGAGACAGAGACUAUGUCAACUAUUUUGCCUUUUAUUCUGUUGGGCAAGGAACUGUGACUGAACUACUCCAGUAAAUAAAAUAAGAGAAUUAGAGAGCAGAGUCUGUCUACAUAAGUUUUUUUUUCUAAGUACUGGUAUGUUUUACUGUGCAUGACAGUUGCAUUAUGCAUUCCCAUGUGUGAUUCCCAAGUAGAUUUCACAACAAAAUCAUGCAUAGGUUUCACAAGCCCCAUUAUUAAGAGCAAAUGUAACAGCUUAAAGUGUACAUUCUAUACUUUUAUGUAUAAAUAAUACCUUCCAAGAGAAAAGAGCUGAUAAGUACGUUUCAGAGUCACCAUUUCUGUAAUA